rnacentral:lncRNA from 1 species
GAUACUCAUUUCGAACAUGAUGAUUGUUGAUGUGUGGAAGAGCUUGUAUGUGCAUCUUGAAAGUAUUAAGAGGGUUUGUCCCUGUAGUAUAUUACAAUUUCCCUAGUCUGUUGGGUCUUUAAAGAGAGUCGCCUCAAUAUAAGCUUUAAAGCAGCUUGGCCAGACCAUGCACUUGAGGCGGUAUGCCCUUGUAUUAGCCUUGGAGGGAUUCGUCCUCAACUUAUC